rnacentral:rRNA from 1 species
AGGACGAACGCUGGCGGCGUGCUUAACACAUGCAAGUCGAGCGGAAAGGCCCUUCGGGGUACUCGAGCGGCGAACGGGUGAGUAACACGUGAGUAAUCUGCCCCUAGCUCUGGGAUAGCUCCGGGAAACCGGGAUUAAUACCAGAUACGACCACUUUAGACAUCUGCUGUGGUGGAAAGAAUUUCGGCUAGGGAUGAGCUCGCGGCCUAUCAGCUUGUUGGUGAGGUAACGGCUCACCAAGGCGACGACGGGUAGCCGGCCUGAGAGGGCGACCGGCCACACUGGGACUGAGACACGGCCCAGACUCCUACGGGAGGCAGCAGUGGGGAAUAUUGCGCAAUGGGCGAAAGCCUGACGCAGCGACGCCGCGUGGGGGAUGAAGGCCUUCGGGUGUAAACCCGUUCAGCAGGGACGAAGCGAAAGUGACGGUACCUGCAGAAGAAGCGCCGGCUAACUACGUGCCAGCAGCCGC